AACGAACGCUGGCGGCAUGCCUAACACAUGCAAGUCGAACGAGACCUUCGGGUCUAGUGGCGCACGGGUGCGUAACGCGUGGGAACCUGCCCUUAGGUUCGGAAUAACUCCCCGAAAGGGGUGCUAAUACCGGAUAAUGUCUUCGGACCAAAGAUUUAUCGCCUUUGGAUGGGCCCGCGUUGGAUUAGCUAGUUGGUAGGGUAAAAGCCUACCAAGGCGACGAUCCAUAGCUGGUCUGAGAGGAUGAUCAGCCACACUGGGACUGAGACACGGCCCAGACUCCUACGGGAGGCAGCAGUGGGGAAUAUUGGACAAUGGGCGAAAGCCUGAUCCAGCAAUGCCGCGUGAGUGGUGAAGGCCUUAGGGUUGUAAAGCUCUUUUACCCGGGAUGAUAACGACAGUACCGGGAGAAUAAGCUCCGGCUAACUCCGUG
rnacentral:rRNA from 1 species